rnacentral:lncRNA from 13 species
CACAAUCACAACUGAGCAACUUGAAGACCAGAAUUAACACUUCAAUUUCUUGUUUUUCCCCCCUCCUCCCUGCCCCAAUUCAAUAUUACAUUAAGAAAGGAUACAGCCCUGAACACCUCUUGAAGAAAAGUCACACUGAUGUCAAUUUGCAGUCAGGAAUGGAGCAGAAUAUUUUCAUGUCCAAGAUCACCACAGAAUCGUCUCAGGAGCACUGCAGAGAAAGUGCUUCUGCUGAUGACAGUUCUGCAGAGCUUUUGAUGAAAACUAAAUCUUCUCAUCUCUGGCAUAUUCCUCACUAAAAGACAAUGACAAACACUUCAAGCACAGAAGGAGUUCUACUGUACAUCCCAGAGGGCUAAGUCUUCCAAGCAAGAAAUGAGCCACAUGAGAGGGUAUAAUGCAUUGGAACACGAAAUUCAAGUGUUUUCUGUAAUAAUUGCCAAGAUACUCCACUUUCACACACCGUACUGCAUGUGUGUGCGGUAAUUGUUUAUCUUCUAGGUGUAAGAACAAAGUAUUAAUUUAUUUAUUGCCUAGUGUCUUAAAAGUCAAUGGGAUAAAGACACAAGGAGCUAUGAGCCUUCCUCUAGGUUUUCCAUUUACACAUAGGUAUGUAAAACAUUCCUGAAGUGGGAAUUGUUUAAGAAACACUAUUUUUUUAACAAACAAGAUGGCUUAAACCCAGAUAACACAUUCUAAUGCACCUCAUCAUCUUAAAUGCCUAAAUGUUCAAAAUGGAAACUUCUCAGUUAUCCCAGCAAGGAAAAAUUCAUUCUGUUACUGAAAUGAAUAUGAUAAUAUUGCAUUUGUAUCUUAUCAUCAGCCUCCUUUUCAGAGGAGGUCUUAUUUCUC